rnacentral:miRNA from 1 species
UUGGAUUAGUUCUCAUUAAUG